GGGGGGGCGUCUUUUCCCCCCGGGCCCGUGCCCGCCGGAGACCCCAACACGAACACUGUCUGAAAGCGUGCAGUCUGAGUUGAUUGAAUGCAAUCAGUUAAAACUUUCAACAAUGGAUCUCUUGGUUCCGGCAUCGAUGAAGAACGCAGCGAAAUGCGAUAACUAAUGUGAAUUGCAGAAUUCAGUGAAUCAUCGAGUCUUUGAACGCACAUUGCGCCCCCUGGUAUUCCGGGGGGCAUGCCUGUCCGAGCGUCAUUGCUGCCCUCAAGCCCGGCUUGUGUGUUGGGUCGCCGUCCCCCUCUCCGGGGGGACGGGCCCGAAAGGCAGCGGCGGCACCGCGUCCGAUCCUCGAGCGUAUGGGGCUUUGUCACAUGCUCUGUAGGAUUGGCCGGCGCCUGCCGACGUUUUCCAACCAUUCUUUCCAGGUGACCUCGAUCAGU
rnacentral:rRNA from 1 species